UCAAGCUACUAAGGGCGCACGGUGGAUGCCUUGGCGUCAAGAGCCGAUGAAGGACGUGGCAUGACUGCGAAAAGCCUCGGCUAGCUGUCUAGCAAGCUUAACCGGGGAUCUCCGAAUGGGGUAACCCGAUCCGAUUCAUCUCGGAUCACGGCCGGCUGAACACAUAGGCCGGAUCGAGGGCACCCGGGGAACUGAAACAUCUCAUUACCCGGAGGAACAGAGAUUAUUCUCCUAGUAGCGGCGAGCGAACGGGGAACAGCCCAAACCGUCCCUACGGGGGCGGGGUUGUAGGGCCGGCGCACAGGAGUUUAGAAAUCAACCGGAUAGCCGAAUGGCCUGGAACGGCCCACCAGAGGGGGUGAGAGUCCCGUAGGCGAAAUUUGGUUGACUCCUGCCGGUACCUGAGUACCACGGGACACGUGAAAUCCCGUGGGAAGCUGGGGAGACCACUCUCCAAGGCUAAAUACUCUUGAUGACCGAUAGUGAACCAGUACCGUGAGGGAAAGGUGAAAAGCACCCCGAGAGGGGAGUGAAAUAGUUCCUGAAACCGUGUGCCUACAAGCAGUCGGAGCCUGGCUUGUCCGGGUGACGGCGUGCCUAUUGAAGAAUGAGCCGACGAGUUGCGUUCAGUGGCAAGGUUAAGUGACGGGAGUCACGGAGCCGGAGCGAAAGCGAGUCUGAAUAGGGCGACAUGAGUCGCUGGACGCGGACCCGAAACCUGGUGAGCUACCCAUGGGCAGCGUGAAGCGAGAGUAAAGCCUCGUGAAGGCGCGAACCUUCCUGCGUUGCAAAGCAGUUGGAUGACCUGUGGGUAGGGGUGAAAUGCUAAUCGAACCAGGAGAUAGCUGGUUCUCCUCGAAAUGCAUUUAGGUGCAGCCUCGAGUGUUUUGCUGUGGAGGUAGGGCUCUGAUUGGGCUAGGGGGCAUACCGCUUACCAACCCCAUUCAAACCGCGAAUGCCACAGCUUGAGAGCUCGGGAGUGAGACAGCGGGAGCUAAGUUUCGUUGUCAAAAGGGAAAGAGCCCAGACCCUCGGCUAAGGCCCCCAAAUCCAUGCUCAGUGUCAAAGGAUGUCGGAUCGCACAGACAACCAGGAUGUUGGCCCAGAAGCAGCCACCAUUUGAAGAGUGCGUAAUAGCUCACUGGUCGAGUGAUCCGGCGCCGACAAUGUACCGGGGCUCAAGCAUGGUGCCGAAGCCAGGGGAUUGCGCGUAAGCGUGAUCGGUAGAGGAGCGUUCUGCAGGCAGUGAAGCUGCCGGGGUGACCCGUGGUGGAGCGUGCAGAAGUGAGAAUGUCGGCAUGAGUAGCGUCAUCUCGGUGAGAAACCGAGACACCGUAAGCCCAAGGGUUCCUACGCAAGGUUAUUCCACGUAGGGUUAGGCGGGCCUAAGCCGAGGGCGAGAGCCGUAGGCGAUGGACAGCAGGUUAGUAUUCCUGCCCCACCUGUGGUGCGUUUGAUGCAAAGGGGUGACCCGGGAGGAUAGAUGGAGCGGGCCCAUUGGACAUGGCCCGUCCCUGGAUCGUAGGCGUCUGGAGGCAGGCAAAUCCACCUCCAGGUUAAGCGGAGGAUCCGGGGGAAGUGGAGACGUCAGUCAAAGCGAUUCCGUUGAGUCCAUGCCGGCUAGAAAAGCCUCGUUGCUAGUACCGUGGGUGCCCGUACCGCAAACCGACACUGGUGGGCGGCGGUAAGUACCGUGAGGUGUACGAGAGAACCUUCGUUAAGGAACUCUGCAAUCUAGCUCCGUAACUUCGGGAGAAGGAGCACCCCUGGCUGUGAAGGACCUCGCGUCCGGAGCGGGUGGGGGUCGCAGUGAGCCGGCCCAGGCGACUGUUUAACAAAAACACAGGUCUCUGCUAACACGUAAGUGGAUGUAUAGGGGCUGACACCUGCCCAGUGCCGGAAGGUUAAGGGGAGAGCUGCAAGGCUUGAACUGAAGCCCCGGUGAACGGCGGCCGUAACUAUAACGGUCCUAAGGUAGCGAAAUUCCUUGUCGGGUAAG
rnacentral:rRNA from 1 species